rfam:Picea glauca, whole genome shotgun sequence.
GCUUUCAUAGCUCAGUUGGUUAGAGCACCCGUUUAGUAACCGGGAGGUCAUGAGUUUAACUCUCAUUAAAAUGA